rnacentral:sRNA from 1 species
AAUAGCAGCACUUGCGGUUGCAACAAGACAAACUCAUAGCAACACUUGCUGAUGACAUAGAGAUCAUCAGUACUGCUGCUGCCGCUGCUAUUAUUUAAGUCUUUCCUUCC